rnacentral:rRNA from 1 species
UACGUAGGGGGCUAGCGUUGUCCGGAUUUAUUGGGCGUAAAGGGCUUGUAGGUGGCCAACUAAGUCAGACGUGAAAUCCCUCGGCUUAACCGGGGAACUGCGUCUGAUACUGGAUGGCUUGAGUGUGGGAGAGGGAUGCGGAAUUCCAGGUGUAGCGGUGAAAUGCGUAGAUAUCUGGAGGAACACCGGUGGCGAAGGCGGCAUCCUGGACCAUUACUGACACUGAAAAGCGAAAGCCAGGGGAGCAAACGGG